ACGCUCGACACCUACGGGAGGUAGCAGUCGGGAAUAUUGCGCAAUGGAGGGAACUCUGACGCAGUGACGCCGCGUAUAGGAAGAAGGUUUUCGGAUUGUAAACUAUUGUCGUUAGGGAAGAGAAAGGACAGUACCUAAGGAGGAAGCUCCGGCUAACUACGUGCCANGCCGCGGUAAUCUGAGCGGGCGUGGCGAAGGC
rnacentral:rRNA from 1 species